AGCAGCCGCGGUAAUUCCAGCUCCAAUAGCGUAUAUUAAAGUUGUUGCAGUUAAAAAGCUCGUAGUUGAAUUUCGGGGUCAAUAAGUUGGUCAUGCCAAUGGUAUGUACUGGCUUUAUUGAUUCCUACCUCUUGACGAACUGUGAUGCCAUUAAUUUGGUGUUGCAAGGAAUCAGGACUGUUACCUUGAAAAAUUAGAGUGUUUAAAGCAAGCUUACGCUUGAAUACAUUAGCAUGGAAUAAUGAAAUAGGACGUUUGAUCCUAUUUUGUUGGUUUCUAGGAUCGACGUAAUGAUUAAUAGGGAUAGUUGGGGGCAUUAGUAUUCAAUUGUCAGAGGUGAAAUUCUUGGAUUUAUUGAAGACUAACUACUGCGAAAGCAUUUGCCAAGGAUGUUUUCAUUAAUCAAGAACGAAAGUUAGGGGAUCGAAGACGAUCAGAUACCGUCGUAGUCUUAACCAUAAACUAUGCCGACUAGGGAUCGGAUGAUGUUAAUUUUUAAUGACUCAUUC
rnacentral:rRNA from 1 species